AUUAGAAUGGUAAGUAUCACUUCAUAUAUAACUGAAAAUUUUAAAUUCUACAAAAAUCACCAGAGCUACUUUUCUGGAGCUAAAAGAGCAAGUGUAGUACUUUUAUAUGCAUUGUCUAUACUUUGAGGAACAAAGUAAAAGUUUAAAAAAAUAAAUUUAAAAAGGGAUUCAGGAAAUCCCUCAUACUAUUUGAGAGUGGCUAUCAUUAUGAACCGGUACCCUUAUCCUAUGUACACUGAGAUUCAGAAAAGCAGAUCAGUCAUUUAUUUAAAAAUAUCAAAGAAAUGCCUAUAAAAUAUGUACUUAAAAAUAAGAAUAUACUGCUGGAAGCAUGAUUCACGUGGCAGAAUGCUUGUCUAGAAAGUGUGAGGUCCUGAGUUCAAAACCACUAUUUAUCUAUAUAUUUAUCUAUAUAUCUGUAUAUACAACCCAAAUCUAUAUUGCACUUAUCCCUUUGGUAUAGCUGUUUUAAUCAGUGGCUUUGGGUUCUGUGAAAUAUGUCCAGAGAGGCUAAGG